GGGGAUGUAAGUUUCGACGAAGUUCAUUUCAAAUUAUAUGCAAGUAGCAGAUGGAUAUCACUGCUUUAAAUAUUAUCCAAAAUUAUAAUUGCUAAAACCAAUUAUUCAGGAGCUUUAGCUUUCGCUUAGGUUCCCGUUCCCUCAGAGAUGCUCGCUAUCUGAGAUGAGCGCCAUUAGCGAGAUACUGUGUUUAGUUUCUUGGUGUGUUUUGAGUUAAACACGGGAAAAUUUAUCAGAAUACUGGCUCGGCGAUUUUGCUGAUUUCUACAGCCGAGCACUAACAAAUCAGCUAAACUUGUAGAAUAUAAUCUGAUCAAAUUUCGGACGAGGGUUCAAUCUCUCCAUCUCCACCC
rnacentral:tmRNA from 1 species